UUAGGGAAUUUACACUAUGAAGGAUAAAAUCUUAUUUUCAACCAAAGGCUGCCAGUGGCAGACAGUGAACCAGCUGCAGUGCUCAUUGGGAAGCACUGUGGGAAGGGGGGUGAUGGAAGGAGAAGCCACCUGCUGUGGGGCUGCUAUGUCUGCUCUGCUUUUAUCUGCCCACAAGCAACCACUUCUUUAGGGAUGGUGGCUGUGGAAAACAAUGUUGUAAGGAGUGCGCAGUUGUGAAUAUAAAUACAACACUGCUGUGAGAAAGUAAGCACUGGGUAGUGCUUCAUACUAAUAAUAACUUCUAAGAAAAGAUACCGUGUCCCAAGAGAAAAGCACACUGGGUUGCAGCCUGCUGCUAAGAGAACUUAUCUAAAUGUAGUCCCACAGAGGCUGAUGGUUGUUUCCAUUUACUCUCUAAGUCGAAUGUGGUUUUUUCCACUUCAGUAAAGGAUCAAUUAUACAUAUCUCUGAAAGCCCACAGGUACAAACACCUCUGAUGCAGCAGACUACAAGGCACAUUCACAUUUCUAAUUCGAGGAGUUGAAGCUUAAUUGAAUCUGUAUCUCUUCAUGCAUCAGUAAUAUUUAGAAAAGGAGGAGAAAUCCAGCUUUGGUUGAGUGAUGACCCAUGAAGGUUGAAUUAAGGAUGCUCAAAGCAUCAUGGGUCCCUUCCAAGCAGCACUUGGAUGCUCCAGUUGUGCUUCUACAAAAUCACAGAGAAGGCAGGAAUAUUUCCCCUGACUUCUAUGGGCACGCAAGCCAGCAGUGCCACAUCCAAAGUGAUGCUGAGGGAGAAGGGGGAGCGGCACACAGCUGACUGCUGUCAGUGGAGCAGUGUGCAUGUGUGCAAGGCCAGAGCUCCAGAGCAGGACACAGAAAGCAGGAUUCUGUCCUAAGGAACUGGAGGAGAAGCUCCUCUGUGGCUCUCCAGAAGCACGUGGAGCUGUCACCCACACCCAGUGCUUUUGUCAAGGGAGGACUGCAUAUGGAGAGCUUCUGUUUUGCAUUGAAAGAAAAAAUACUUUUUGACACUUUCCCGAAGGCCCCAGGCAUUAUUUUUUUCUAAAGCCAAUAGCAAGAAAAAAGCAAUACUGGAGGGGCAGAAAGAGGAGAUCCUUUCUCAGCAGCGAGAGCCCCUCAGUAGCGUGGGGAGGCUACAAACGCAGCAGCAGCAGCAAAGGAAGAGGGUUCUGUGACUGGAAAACAUGUUAUGGAAUAGGAGGAACUACAGGAGGUUUAAAAUACUACUCACUGAAUUGUGCAUCAAAGUAGGAGCCAAGGGAAGAAGAGAUUUGGUGAGGUUUUUUUUGUUUGUUUUUUUAAAAACAACUAAUUGAUGGUUUUAGAGAUGUUUUCCAUGUUCAUUAAUAUCUGUCCUUUUUCCUGUGCAAAGCCAACACUUGAGCACUAAGCUUUUAGAGCAGAACUUACUGCUGUUAAUGAUCAGUGCAGAGCAGCUGUUCUUGGGUUCGGAUGUGACAAAGAGAAGAUUCUGAACUGUAAAUAAUGCCUUUACAGUGGUAAGGUAAAAACUAGCCUUAAAUGCAGGAGACAGCUGCCAAGAGUUAUGCUAAGGUUGGAAACCUCAUCUGUGUGCAGUCUGUCAUAAAGCCCUGACCUUUAGGGGCUUGGCAUUAGUUAAAUAGUGCAGCUCCAGCACCAGGUGAGCUGGCAUACCAAACAGCACUCAGCUCCUCCAGCUCUCUUAUGUGGUAAAGAUUUCUAAACACAUCCUUAAUCUCCAGGAUCUGUUAUUUUCAACAGGUGAUGCGGUUGGCGCUGGGCUCUUUUGCUAGCAAUUGUGCUAGGCAGUUACAUAGAAAAUCCUUGGUAAAUUGCCCUGAUGCUCUGCCAACCAGCAGUAAGCAGAAUGAAAACAGGUAGUCGUGCUCAGGAGCUGUUGUCAGGAACAUGAUGGACUUCCAUGUUUUAAGCUCUUUAGAUGUAAUACAUCACAGAUACUUAAAUUAUAGAAGGAUUUGCUCACCAUCUUUUGUCAUCAAAUUCUGUUCAAGUGGUAGAAACCAAUAGUUGUAUGUAGCCGUGAGUUUUAGUAGAUAAUUUUACCUGCAGCAGUGCCUGUUCUGUUUGCUGUGCAAACCACCGGUCCACCUGAGAAGCCAGCUGUGUUGCAUUACCUGUUUCCACUCUCUCAAGUUGAAUCUCCUGACGAACCAGGCUCUCCUGGUGCCAGUUGUCUCUGCAAGGACAGAAAUUGCUGCUAAAUCAACAGUCACAGGCCUCCAGUCUCAGUGAAUGCCUGCUUC